GACGAACGCUGGCGGCGUGCUUAACACAUGCAAGUCGAGCGGUAAGGCCCGUUUCGGGGGUACACGAGCGGCGAACGGGUGAGUAACACGUGGGUGACCUGCCCUCAGCUCUGGGAUAAGCCUGGGAAACCGGGUCUAAUACCGGAUAUGACUCCAUGACGCAUGUUGUGGGUGGAAAGCCUUGUGCGGCUGAGGAUGGGCCCGCGGCCUAUCAGCUUGGUUGGUGGGGUNAUGGCCUACCAAGGCGACGACGGGUAGCCGGCCCGAGAGGGCGACCGGCCACACUGGGACUGAGACACGGCCCAGA
rnacentral:rRNA from 1 species